AGUGAACGCUGGCGGUAGGCCUAACACAUGCAAGUCGAACGGCAGCACAGUAAGAGCUUGCUCUUACGGGUGGCGAGUGACGGACGGGUGAGGAAUACAUCGGAAUCUACUUUUUCGGGGGGGAUAACGGAGGGAAACUUACGCUAAUACCGCAUACGACCUACGGGUGAAAGCAGGGGAUCUUCGGAUCUUGCGCGAUUGAAUGAGCCGAUGUCGGUUUAGUUAGUUGGCGGGGUAAAGGCCCACCAAGGCGACGAACCGUAGCUGGUCUGAGAGGAUGAUCAGCCACACUGGAACUGAGACACGGUCCAGACUCCUACGGGAGGCAGCAGUGGGGAAUAUUGGACAAUGGGCGCAAGCCUGAUCCAGCCGUACCGCGUGGGUGAAGAAGGUCUUCGGGUUGUAAAGCCCUUUUGUUGGGAAAGAAAAGCAGCAGGUUAAUACCCCGCUGUUCUGACGGUACCUAAAGAAUAAGCACCGGCUAACUUCGUG
rnacentral:rRNA from 1 species